rnacentral:rRNA from 1 species
UACGUAGGGUGCGAGCGUUAAUCGGAAUUACUGGGCGUAAAGCGUGCGCAGGCGGUUAUGUAAGACAGGUGUGAAAGCCCCGGGCUCAACCUGGGAAUUGCAUCCGAUACUGAUUGGCUAGAGUAUGAGAGAGGGAGGUAGAAUUCCACGUGUAGCGGUGAAAUGCGUAGAUAUGUGGAGGAACACCGAUGGCGAAGGCAGCCUCCUGGGCCAGCACUGACGCUCAUGCACGAAAGCGUGGGGAGCAAACAGG